UCGAGCGAGUCUGCCUUGAAGAUCGGAGUGCUUGCACUCUGUGAAACAAGAUACAGGCUAGCGGCGGACGGGUGAGUAACACGUGGGUAACCUGCCCAAGAGAUCGGGAUAACACCUGGAAACAGAUGCUAAUACCGGAUAACAACAGAUGAUGCCUAUCAACUGUUUAAAAGAUGGUUCUGCUAUCACUCUUGGAUGGACCUGCGGUGCAUUAGCUAGUUGGUAGGGUAACGGCCUACCAAGGCGAUGAUGCAUAGCCGAGUUGAGAGACUGAUCGGCCACAUUGGGACUGAGACACGGCCCAAACUCCUACGGGAGGCAGCAGUAGGGAAUCUUCCACAAUGGACGCAAGUCUGAUGGAGCAACGCCGCGUGAGUGAAGAAGGGUUUCGGCUCGUAAAGCUCUGUUGUUGGUGAAGAAGGACAGGGGUAGUAACUGACCUUUGUUUGACGGUAAUCAAUUAGAAAGUCACGGCUAACUACGUGCCAGCAGCCGCGGUAAUACGUAGGUGGCAAGCGUUGUCCGGAUUUAUUGGGCGUAAAGCGAGUGCAGGCGGCUCGAUAAGUCUGAUGUGAAAGCCUUCGGCUCAACCGGAGAAUUGCAUCAGAAACUGUCGAGCUUGAGUACAGAAGAGGAGAGUGGAACUCCAUGUGUAGCGGUGAAAUGCGUAGAUAUAUGGAAGAACACCGGUGGCGAAGGCGGCUCUCUGGUCUGUUACUGACGCUGAGGCUCGAAAGCAUGGGUAGCGAACAGGAUUAGAUACCCUGGUAGUCCAUGCCGUAAACGAUGAGUGCUAAGUGUUGGGAGGUUUCCGCCUCUCAGUGCUGCAGCUAACGCAU
rnacentral:rRNA from 1 species